rnacentral:rRNA from 1 species
CACAGCCGCGGUAAUACGUAGGGUGCGAGCGUUAAUCGGAAUUACUGGGCGUAAAGCGUGCGCAGGCGGUUCGUUAAGACAGAUGUGAAAUCCCCGGGCUUAACCUGGGAACUGCAUUUGUGACUGGCGAGCUAGAGUAUGGCAGAGGGGGGUAGAAUUCCACGUGUAGCAGUGAAAUGCGUAGAGAUGUGGAGGAAUACCGAUGGCGAAGGCAGCCCCCUGGGCCAAUACUGACGCUCAUGCACGAAAGCGUGGGGAGCAAACAGGAUUAGAUACCCCCGUAGUCCCUGUCUCUUAUACA